CCGAUAUCUUCAGUGUGUUUUGGUUUCAUUUCCCCGCUGUGAGGGCGGUCAAAUACUUAUCAGAGGUCAUCUUCAAGCUCAAAUACGGAGUCUGGACCGGUUGCUGGUUACUUCAGACUCGUAAAGUAUUCUGAAUACUCUUGCUUGCGCUUUUAGUUCAAUUCGAAGUGAUUGUACUCAACGAUCCUCACCGAUGUCUACGAAACAGGACUGGAAUUUCUUUCAAGAACAACUCGUUAAACAGCUAAAGCUGGUUCAAGAUGCUGGAUUUCUACUUUUAUGUACUUCAUGUGACUCUCUGUUGGAUAUAUCUGAGAAUCCACUGCUUACGGUAACUUAAUGAUUGAACAAGUACUGAUGCGCAGCGUCAAAACGACAGGAGGACUAACAAGAGAGCGCGGUAUGUCGGAGUUACAGCAUCUUACAUGGAUUAUGUCUAUGCCUGCUUGCACUGAAGUGAACCAUAGUUAAUUUUCUCACAAGCGAGCAGCAUAAAGAUACAUCUUAAGCAAGAAAAGAGAGGGAUUUCAAAGACACAAAUACGCCCAUUGACUAUUUGUCUCAAAAGGAUCCUUUUGCUUCUGAUUCGUCAUCUCACUGCGCUAAUAUCGCAACGGGCGUCGUCGCAGAGGCGCUUGUUAACUGUGACAAGUCUAGAGAGGAAGGCGAGAAGAUACUCAAGUCGUUGAACGGGAAAGAUGCUUGUUAGUAUUUGUUUCGUAAGAAGGAUCAAAUUGUAACUCUUGCAUCUAGGACGGCUCUACAGAUUAAGGACGGCGAGGUUCAAGUGGACCCCCAGCUUCUCUUCCAGAGGCUGGCCAUUCUUGCUACCACGAUAUGCGAUACGAGAACCCCUGAGUUUUUCGAAAUGUGCAGUCUCCCCCGGCCUUGUUUGAUUCGUCACUUCUCCCGCGGAAGGCUAACAAACCCGUACUAGCAGAUGCAAUCUGGUCUCGAAAGAAUUUCAACCUUCUUCAAUACAAGGUGGCGUAUGAUCAGUAUAAAAUACCCUUCCCUUAGUUUCACGAUUUUAUAUUUAUACAUCUUUAAUUUCCGGAACGUCUGCGCAAUAUGUCAUCGAUGGGGGAGCUUUGCUGCACCGUGUAGUCUGGCCACGAGGAGAAACGUAUGACGCCAUCUGUCUGCUUUACAUCAAGUACCUUCAGCGGAGGUACCGUGAAGCUACAGUUGUCUUGAUGGUUACAGCGAUAUACCAUCCACUAAAGAUAGUAAUCACCAACGAAGAAACGAAGGCGGCCCUGCUGUUAUGUUUGAAGGUGACAUGGUAGCGACUUUGAAAAAGGAUAUCUUCCUGUCAAACAAUGCCAACAUGUUGUCAAGCAAGCUACAGCAAGCCGGAUAUGCGGUUCGUCAGGCUUUGGGAGAUGCCGACGUCUUAAUCGUGAGUACCGCUAUCGAAAAGGCGAAGACCGAGACGACCGUCCUUAUUGGAGAUGACACGGAUCUGUUGAUACUCCUGAUAGAACAUACCGAGAUGGAUGCGAAGGACCUCUAUUUCCGUCCAGAACCACGACCAAGUGAGAAAGCUCCUAGAAUAUAGGAUAUCAAGAAGACAAAGGCAGCCCUAGGCCGUGAGACGUGCGUACAUAUCUUGUUUGCGCAUGCGUUUCUCGACUGCGACACGACCUCUAGAGUCCAUGGAAAUUGAAAAGGAGCGACUA